rnacentral:tRNA from 1 species
GCCAGCGUGGCGGAGUCCGGUCGAACGCGGCAGAUUCGAGAUCUGCUGGGACAUAUGCUCCCUCCCCGGUUCAAAUCCGGGCGCUGGCG